CAAUAGCGUAUAUUAAAGUUGUUGCGGUUAAAAAGCUCGUAGUUGGAUUUCUGCUGAGAACGACCGGUCCGCCCUCUGGGUGUGUAUCUGGCUCUUUCUUGGCAUCUUCUUGGUGAACGUUGCUGCACUUGACUGUGUGGAGCGCUACCCAGGACUUUUACUUUGAGGAAAUUAGAGUGUUUCAAGCAGGCAUACGCCUUGAAUACAUUAGCAUGGAAUAAUAAGAUAGGACCUCGGUUCUAUUUUGUUGGUUUCUAGAGCUGAGGUAAUGAUUAAUAGGGAUAGUUGGGGGCACCUGUAUUGCGUUGUCAGAGGUGAAAUUCUUGGAUUUACGCAAGACAAACAGCUGCGAAAGCGUCUGCCAAGGAUGUUUUCAUUA
rnacentral:rRNA from 1 species